UAGUGAAGUUUGAAUCGGCCU
rnacentral:piRNA from 1 species